AGGUUCUUCUGUGAUAUGUUUUCAUGGUGUGGGAAUAAGACUUGGUGGUCUAAUACAGCUAAUAUAAAGGUUAGCAUCACAGCUUGUCUGUAAGGAUUGAAGCUGGGAGUGGGCAUUGGAGCGGACUUUUAUGAUAACUGUGGCUGCAUAAGAUGGUAGUGUUAUAUAACUGCAACAGUUAAGAAUGUAAUUCAGACUAUUUUUGGGUAUGCUUGAAAAAAUGUUUAUAAUUUUUUUACAAAAAAAAAUAAAAUUGUAAA